CAGCAGCCGCGGUAAUACGUAGGUGGCAAGCGUUGUCCGGAUUUAUUGGGCGUAAAGCGAGCGCAGGCGGUUCUUUAAGUCUGAUGUGAAAGCCCCCGGCUCAACCGGGGAGGGUCAUUGGAAACUGGAGAACUUGAGUGCAGAAGAGGAGAGUGGAAUUCCAUGUGUAGCGGUGAAAUGCGUAGAUAUAUGGAGGAACACCAGUGGCGAAGGCGACGACCUGGACUGAUACUGACACUGAGGUGCG
rnacentral:rRNA from 1 species